rnacentral:rRNA from 1 species
UAGGGAAUCUUCGGCAAUGGACGAAAGUCUGACCGAGCAACGCCGCGUGAGUGAAGAAGGUUUUCGGAUCGUAAAACUCUGUUGUUAGAGAAGAACAAGGACGUUAGUAACUGAACGUCCCCUGACGGUAUCUAACCAGAAAGCCACGGCUAACUACGUGCCAGCAGCCGCGGUAAUACGUAGGUGGCAAGCGUUGUCCGGAUUUAUUGGGCGUAAAGCGAGCGCAGGCGGUUUCUUAAGUCUGAUGUGAAAGCCCCCGGCUCAACCGGGGAGGGUCAUUGGAAACUGGGAGACUUGAGUGCAGAAGAGGAGAGUGGAAUUCCAUGUGUAGCGGUGAAAUGCGUAGAUAUAUGGAGGAACACCAGUGGCGAAGGCGGCUCUCUGGUCUGUAACUGGCGCUGAGGCUCGAAAGCGUGGGGAGCAAACAG